GACUGUUUGUAUCCCUUUUUUUUCAAUUUGGUCUUCCCUCAUUGUCCAAUAAACAAUGUUCAUUCCCACUAGCAACCCAAUCCGUCUUCUGUCUUCCUCUAUGAAUUUAAAUUUUGAGCAUUUAUUAAUUCUGUUACUAAUUAACCUUCCACCUUUCAAUACUCUUAAUUCAAAUUCUGCUCUCUUUUCUAGGGGAGCCUCCUAAUAACACAAAUUUUCAUUCCCAAUUAUGGUGCCUCCAGACCUUUCAUUGAAAUCAUGUUAUCUCCCUCAUCAUCCUCUCCCCUUCCAUCCUCAUCACAGAUUUACCUCCCAUAACCUAUCUUUCACUCACUUGGCUUCUCCACCACUUCGAGUCCCUCCACUGCCGCCGUCAUCAUCCGUCUGCUUCCCCUCCCCCUCUCUGUCGCGUUUGCAGUCCCCCACUCCUGGUGAAACUUCCUCUCUCAAUCCCUAAAUUGCAUUCACGUUCCUACCUCUCUCUGAAGCUUCCCCGUGCCUCUUUGCCCAAGGAAUCAAUUCAACCUUUAAAAACUGGUGCAGCAACGAUCCCUCUCCCCGUAUGUGCUAUCCUCUCUCUUCUCUUUCUGCUUCACUUUUUCUUCUACCUAUUCAAUUGUUUUGUGAAUCCCUUUUCCUUUGGAUUUUUUAUCGACAUUUUUUUUCAAAUUGUUGCAAAUCCCUCUUUGCUCUUUUUCCAAGGAAAGAAAGAAGUGAUUAGAAAUCAACAUGAAUAUGAAGCUUCUGUGAGCAAGGUGAAUUCUGUGAUUCUAAAGACUACUUUAAUCAUAAUUUUCCUUCAUCGCCAAUUUGUUUGUCUUUCCCAAUUUUGCUUCAAAUCACAGAUGAUAUUGUUUUUGCAGCAGUACUUUUAUUUCAUUUUUGUUUUUGUUUUCUCUCAGGGAAUUUGCUUUAGCAUAGCUGAGAGAAGUUGUGGAACAUAUUUGUUUCCUCAAAUCCUGUGUUAGAAGCAUCUUGAUUUUUUUAUUUUGUUUUUUCUAUAAUUUAUUGGCUGGUCCUGUUGAAACAUGUGUUAACAAGGUCUUCUUUGGUGUUGACAGGUCAUGGAGUGCAGCUACUGCUCAGUUUUUUUAAGUUGGAUUCAUUGAUUGCAAUAUUAUAUGUCUCCUUUGAGAUUCUUGAUUUUUUUUAGUUGCAGUGUACAUUUGUCCCUUUGCUUUUUGGUCUGGGAGUAACAACUUCUGUACUUUUUUUUAGUUUGUGAUAUUUAAGAAAGUUUUAUGACUGGUUAUUCUUUUCCCUUCAAUGCUCCCUAUUUUUUUCCCACAUUCUUUAUGACUGAUUAUUGUUUUGACUGAUUAGUUUCAAAUUAGUUGUAAGUUCAUAUUGUUUCUUUUAAGUAUUAUCUCUUAUGGUAACUCAUUUCCUUCAUGAAUUGUCAGGUUGAGCUUUUCUCAAGUCUUUUCCAUGAAUUUUUUUUGGAUUUGUUUAUCUCAUUAGGUUAAUUUUCGUUGGUGGUCUACCAAAUCAUUUUUUGGCUUUUUGUUUUGUGGUCAAAGUAGAUGAGUAAUUUAAUUUCCAACCUCCAUGUUGGAGAGGUUAAAAUUCAAUUGGUUGGUUUAUGUUUCAUAUCGGUUUAAAGGGAUGAUAACGCUCUUGAUUAUACCCUCCAGGUAUAAUGGGGAAAAUGCUCACUGCUCUGAACAUUUUUAGCUUAAUUGCUGCAAAAGGGUUACCCUGUUCAGUUUUCAAGGUUGUUAGAUAUGAGAAAGAUAAAGAAAACACUUAGUGGACUGAUUAGUAGUCUCAGUUAUGCAAAUAAGCUGCAAUAAAUUCCUGUUAGUUGACUCUUGAUUAUUUUCUUGAAAUGAUUAGUAUGUAAACAAUGUGUAGAAAAUUAAUUUGUUUUCUUCUAAUCCUCUUUGAUUUGAAUGGUUUGCAGGUUUAUAAUGUAAUCCAUAUUGCAGAAGAAAAAUUGAUUGGCAUUGCUCAAUGGGUCUUUUAGCAGCAAAAUAGUUGAACGAGAGGAGAGUUUGAACAUUGUCGGAUACCUCAAAUUUUGAACACUGUCACAUUGUCAUUUGUUUCAAUUGGCAAUGCUUAAGUAGAUCCUCCAAUGGGAUUUUGAGGGGUUUAUUGUUAUUUCUUCAAAUUUUGAACACUGUCACACUGUCACAUUGUCAUUUGUUUCCUAUUUGCUACUGAAUGUGACAUUUUUUUGGUGUUGAUGCAGGACUUUUGAUAACAAGAUUGUUUUUAAUUUAUGGGUUCUGUUAUUGGCCUUAAUCCAGAAGGUCUUCUUAUUGGAAACUAUAUUCAUGGGGGAAGAUUAAAAACCGUCAUCCAAUAAGAUUGGCUAUUUGAGAAGACUUUCAUUGUUAAGCUACACAGUGAUGACUCAUCAUCCAAACCUGCAUGCUUGGACAGGUAUUAUGGGGAAAAUGCUCACUGCUCUGAACCCUGUUCUGCUUAGAGAAAUUCUCUAAAUGGAAAUAGGGAGUCUUGCUAUUCAACUCAGCCUAUUGAUGGAAUUGGUACAUUAAAUGUUUCUGUAAUUGAAACCUUUAUGAAGGAGGUGAAAUUGGGACAAUAUUGGCUUUCAUAUUCUGUAGUUCCUAUAAGGGAACCACAAAGCAGGGCAGGUUUUGGAAUUCUUUGCUGCAUCAUUUUCUUUGUCGUGUGGCAUUCUACUGAGUUGGUCCUGUUAUUUGCUAUCUGAAUUGUUGAUUUUCACAGUGGGGGGCUAUGUUUUUAAAUUACUAUGUUUUUUAAUUACUUCAUAUUAGUUUUCCUUUGUUUUAGUCUCUUUGGGGCUGUAGCGUAUGACAAAUUAUUGGCUUGAUUUCCUCAUGUAAUUAUGGUUCUAUAUUUAGAACCAUUUGUAUCACAGAUUUCCUACAUAGAUAUCUACUAAUUAAUGAGAUUGUGAUGAAGAGAAGGUUGGAAAGAUUGUUAACACUCCUACUAGGUGUGUUAUUUUAACAAGAAAAAAUAAAUUUUCAUUCAGUUUAA